rnacentral:rRNA from 1 species
GGAUUAGAUACCCUGGUAGUCCACGCUGUAAACGAUGUGUACUUGAUGUAGAUCGGCUCAACCCGGUCUGUAUCGUAGCUAACGCGAUAAGUACACCGCCUGGGGAGUACGCUCGCAAGGGUGAAACUCAAAAGAAUUGACGGGGGCUCGCACAAGCAGUGGAGCAUGUGGUUUAAUUCGAUGCUACGCGAAGAACCUUACCUAGACUUGACAUGUAGUAGACCGGUACGGAAACGUACUUUCCCGCAAGGGCUGCUAUACAGAUGCUGCAUGGCUGUCGUCAGCUCGUGCCG